AUACUACUCCCUUCGUUCCGAAUUACUUGUCGCGGGUAUGGAUGUAUCUAGAUGUAUUUUAGUUCUAGAUACAUUCAUUUCUGCGGUGAGUAAUUUGGAAUGGAGGGAGUAGUAG
rnacentral:pre_miRNA from 1 species